rnacentral:rRNA from 1 species
AGUUUGAUCAUGGCUCAGAUUGAACGCUGGCGGCAUGCGUAACACAUGCAAGUCGAACGGUGUUUGGUGCUUGCACCAGACAUAGUGGCGGACGGGUGAGUAAUGCGUAGGAAUCUGUCUUAGAGAGGGGGGACAACCCCGAGGAAACUUGGGCUAAAACCGCAUAUUCUCGAGAGAGGAAAGCAGGGGACCGGAAACGGCCUUGUGCUCUAAGGUGAGCCUACAUCGGAUUAGCUAGUUGGUAGGGUAAAAGCCUACCAAGGCGAUGAUCUGUAGCUGGUCUGAGAGGACGGACAGCCACACUGGGACUGAGACACGGCCCAGACUCCUACGGGAGGCAGCAGUGGGGAAUAUUGGACAAUGGGGGGAACCCUGAUCCAGCGAUGCCGCGUGUGUGAAGAAGGCCUGCGGGUUGUAAAGCACUUUCAGUGGGAAAGAGAAGCGUCUUGUGAAUAAUGGGACGUGGAGACGUUACUCACAGAAGAAGCACCGGCUAACUCUGUG